CCAUUUCCCCUUUUUAACCCAUUACUCUGUACUCUUCUCCCUCACGCGCACACGCUCUUUUCUUUCCCAGAAAGAACACACAGAACUCUCCUACGCGCCUCCAUUCCUCUUCUUUCUUCAUCUCCAACGAAUUCAACCUACGACGCCAAAGUUCCCUUUUGCUUAGCUGGUUUUGUCACGCGGAGGGCACGAGCUCUUGUACCUGCAUACAGUCCAAACUUUCCCAGGAGGUAUUUUCAUUCCAAUUUCCUUUUCCUUUUUCAAUUUUGUUCGAAAAUAGUAUAAAUUUGUACACCCUCCAACUCACCUAAGCCUCAUCCUCUGAGAAUUUUUGAAUUUGGGAUUCUCCCACAUUGAUCCAGACCCUUUUUUCUUCCUUCUUUUUUCCUUUAUAAAUAGGCUUUUCUUUACUGUUCAAGGGGGGAUUUUUCGGAGAUCAAAGAGUACCCAUAAAGUUUGGGAAUUUUUGGUUCCAUAGUUAAAUAUUUCUAAAAAUUUUUGUGGCUGCUCGAGUUGAGAGUGGUGGAAUCGUCUCUGCCAAACUCGUCGUUCGCUUCACUGCCCAGAACGAGGCUAUUCCCUUGCAUCCGAUCUCUGAGUCAAUCUCUCUUAAGUCAUAAAAAGGGAAGUUAAUACAUUGGUGAAAGCCUUAAAAUCAGCAGCAACAUUGGCCUUGAAAGGUUGAGAAACGAGAAGCAAAAUUUGGGUUAAAAAACCAAAAACCAGUGGCAACAACAGGAGCUCAGAUGAGCUGAAAUUAGAGUGCUUUGGCUCCCAACUGACCGAAAUUUGAACACCUAAUUACUGCAGCAGUUUCAGCAGUCUCCAAAGGGCUGGAAAUAACAUUUUUUGGAUUUAAAAAAGUUUGAAAAUAGCACCAAACAGCAAACAAGAAGCAGCAAGUGGACUUAUAAUUGUCCAAGUUAUAUUUGCACUUUCUUUUCAUUAUAUUGUGAUUUUGUGAUAUUUUCUUUUAACUUCUAACCUUUAUUUUAUCUAACUUAGAUGAAUCCUCGGAAGUUUCUUGAUAA